rnacentral:rRNA from 1 species
UUGGUGAGGUAAUGGCUCACCAAGUCGGCGAUCCAUAGCUGGUUUGAGAGGAUGAUCAGCCACACUGGGACUGAGACACGGCCCAGACUCCUACGGGAGGCAGCAGUGGGGAAUCUUGGGCAAUGGGCGCAAGCCUGACCCAGCCAUGCCGCGUGUGCGAAGAAGGCCCUAGGGUUGUAAAGCACUUUCAGUCGCGAAGAAAAGCUUGAAGUUAAUACCUUCAGGUCUUGACGUUAACGACAGAAGAAGAUCCGGCUAACUCCGUGCCAGCAGCCGCGGUAAUACGGAGGG